AGCUUUGCGCAGUGGCAGUAUCAUAGCCAAUGAGGUUUAUCUGAGGCGCGAUUAUUGCUAAUUGAAAGAACUUCCAAUUUCACAAAGACAAUAAAACACUUAAUUGAAGCCACUCAUUCAUUAGAUAAAUGCUCUGAGGAGC
rfam:Canis lupus familiaris chromosome 24, whole genome shotgun sequence.